rnacentral:rRNA from 1 species
AUGUAGACAUAGGCGUGCCUGUCUAUAUAUAUAUCACUGGCAGUAGAUCUGCCAAUGGCUCAUUAGGACCGUUAUACUUUAUUUGAUAUCACAUAUGGAUACCUGUACAAAAACUUUAGCUAAUACAUGCCGUAACCGUCCGGUUGUAUUUAUUAUGUAUUCCUGGGAGGUGAUUCAUAAUAACUUAGCGAAUCGUGACUUGUUCACGAUAAAUCAUUCAAGUUUCUGCCCUAUCAUGCUUUCCAUGGUGGUGUAUUGGACUACCAUGGCUCUCACGGGUAACCGAGAAUUAUGGGUCGAUUACGGACAACGAGCCUGAUAAACUUCUACUACAUCUAACGAAGGCUCCAUGCGCGUAAAUUACCCCCUCCUGACUCAGGGAGGUGGCUUUAGAUAUAACAACGUGAAGUCAAAUUCCCGAUUGUAGUGAGGAUAUUCCGAACCGAAGUUCCACUACCAUUGGAGGACAAGUCUUGGUGACGGCACCCGCGGUGAUUCCU